rnacentral:rRNA from 1 species
AUUGAACGCUGGUGGCAUGCUUAACACAUGCAAGUCGAACGGUAACAGGAAGGGCUUGCUCUUUGCUGACGAGUGGCGGACGGGUGAGUAACGCGUAGGAAUCUGCCCAUGAGAGGGGGAUACCAGUUGGAAACGACUGUUAAUACCGCAUAUUAUCUGUGGAUUAAAGGUGGCCUUUGUGCUGCCGCUUAUGGAUGAGCCUGCGUUAGAUUAGCUUGUUGGUGGGGUAAGGGCCUACCAAGGCUACGAUCUAUAGCUGAUUUGAGAGGAUGAUCAGCCACAUUGGGACUGAGACACGGCCCAAAACUCCUACGGGAGGCAGCAGUGGGGAAUAUUGGACAAUGGAGGAAACUCUGAUCCAGCAAUGCCAUGUGUGUGAAGAAGGCUUUCGGGUU